rnacentral:lncRNA from 1 species
GGUCUACAGCAGGAGUCUUGCUGAGAUGGCCUGGAAGUCUCCUUUGGUGUGUUCGUGUGCAAAAUUUCCAGCAAGUACAGCCUCCUCCUGUCUUCUCGGUAAAAAUAUCUCUGCGAUGAAAUGGAACACAAUGCAAGUUCAGUAGCAGACUGCGGACAAGUGACAUAAAACUGGGAUACGAUGCUGGACAAGCGUUUGCAUCUUUCUGUUGUCUUAUGACUGUUCUAAGUGCCAUUCUGUUUUGAAGAGAGACAGAGAGAAAAAAAAAGACAAAUUUCUAAGAACAUCACACACUCCAGGUCUGGCACAGUGCCGAGGGCGCCGUCCCACCUUGAGGAUAAUACUCCCCUCUGUUGCCAUCAAACCGCUCCAGUGAUGGUGACAUCUGUCUGCCUCUGGCGUUGCUUUCAUUUGUCCUGGGCUUGGUUUCUCUCUCCCAUCUUUACGCAGCCCCUUUCUUGUCUUCUGUGUCACACACACAGUCUGGAUGUUCACCCUGUUCAGUAGUACCGUCACCCCGGGCUCCCUUCUUGACUUCUGGGCUGG